rnacentral:rRNA from 1 species
AGAGACCGGCGCACGGGUGCGUAACGCGUAUGCAAUCUACCUUUUACAGAGGGAUAGCCCAGAGAAAUUUGGAUUAAUACCUCAUAGUAUUAUAUGAUGGCAUCAUUAUAUAAUUAAAGUCACAACGGUAAAAGAUGAGCAUGCGUCCCAUUAGCUAGUUGGUAAGGUAACGGCUUACCAAGGCGACGAUGGGUAGGGGUCCUGAGAGGGAGAUCCCCCACACUGGUACUGAGACACGGACCAGACUCCUACGGGAGGCAGCAGUGAGGAAUAUUGGUCAAUGGACGCAAGUCUGAACCAGCCAUGCCGCGUGCAGGAUGACGGUCCUAUGGACUGUAAACUGCUUUUGUACAGGAAGAAACCCUUGCUCGUGAGCAAGAUUGACGGUACUGUAAGAAUAAGGAUCGGCUAACUCCGUGCCAGCAGCCGCGGUAAUACGGAGGAUCCAAGCGUUAUCCGGAAUCAUUGGGUUUAAAGGGUCCGUAGGCGGCCUAGCAAGUCAGUGGUGAAAUCUCUCCGCUCAACGGGGAA